CUUUGACUACCGUCGAGGUGCAGAGUUUUCAAUCAUGAACCAUAGAUCGAAAGUUGAUGGGCAUUGCUGGGUGUCCGUGGGAGUGGGUAAGUUAGUGUAGGUGGGUUACUGACGAUACUCGAACUCUGACAUCAUGGCGACCCGGCAAGACAAAUAACAUCAAAAUAGAUCGUGAAUAUGAACUGCUUGCCCCGGAGAGUCAAACUAAGUAAAUAAUAGCAAUGUGUCUUCGGCGGGAGCUAGAGUUAUUCGCAAGAUCAACAAUCGUACUUGGUUGUGUUGUGAUAGGGGUAAAAGUGUUCGCCUGAAGUUGGAUUUCCUGGCUCCAAAAGUGGGUAACUCGGGCCGGAUGACGAAACUCGUGCCAGGUUGCAUGGAUUCAUCGCCGUACUCGGCAUGACCUACACUGUAUUGUACUCUGCACACAGUGUAAUGGUCUACCAGUCACGCUACCCAGGACAGUUCUCGCC
rnacentral:lncRNA from 1 species